CAAAAGCUUUAAGGAAAGCUCUUUGUUUUUUGAAAUGAUGCUUUUAUGAGAUAGAGCUUUUUUAGAUAAUGCUUUUUUAGAUAAUGCUGGGGAAGGUUUUCCGGUUUAUCUCGGAGGGCUUGUAGCUCAGUUGGUUAGAGCGCGCGCUUGAUAAGCGUGAGGUCGGAGGUUCAAGUCCUCCCAGGCCCACCAAUUUACCUAUCCAUUUGCCUUUAUCCGUUUAUUUGCCGAUUUAUCGGUCUAUUGAAUUUAAGUGUUGGUAGCAGUUUUUAUAAUGAUGAGAAAUCAUGCUUAUAAAAGAACUCCUUAUAAAAGGCUUGUUUUUAAAAUGUGACGCUUAUCCAUUUCGCUUAGGCAAGAGAAACUUCAAGCGGUUCAAAUGCAAAAGGCUUUAAAUUUUGCAAAACACUUUGAAUUUUAAAGUGAUCCAAGUUCGUGAUCUCGAAUUUAAAAGUUUCGAAUGCUUUAUCCUUUUUUGGGGGCCGUAGCUCAGCUGGGAGAGCACCUGCUUUGCAAGCAGGGGGUCGUCGGUUCGAUCCCGUCCGGCUCCACCAUUUAGAUCAUCAUCAUUGUUGUGAGAACACUCUUUAGUGAGAGGUUA
rnacentral:tRNA from 1 species